CUCACGAUAAGUCUGAUCAUUUUUGCUAAUACUAAGCGUGAACAUAUUUGAUUGGGGAGACAAAUGGGGUCUGAUAAAAUUUGAACUCAAGACCUCUAACUCUGAAUCCCUACCGACGCUGGUGUGCGAAAGCAUGCGGAGCGAACAGGAUUAGAUACCUUGAUAGUCCAUGCUGUAAACGAUGAGUGUUCGCCCUUGGUCUACGCAGAUUAGGGGCCCAACUAACGUGUGAAACACUCCAUCUAAGGAGUACGGUCACAAGACCGAAACUCAAAGGAAUUGACAGGGCCUGAGAAUAUUAGAAUCAAUGGUCAAAAGCUUUGAUUGAUAAUAACGUGU
rnacentral:ncRNA from 1 species